UCCUACGGGGCGCAGCAGUGAGGAAUAUUGGUCAAUGGGCGGAAGCCUGAACCAGCCAAGUCGCGUGAGGGACUAAGGCCCUACGGGUCGUAAACCUCUUUUGCCGGGGAUCAGUGCCCAGCUCGCGAGCUGGGAGGGAGCGUACCCGGAGAAAAAGCAUCGGCUAACUCCGUGCCAGCAGCCGCGGUAAUACGGAGGAUGCGAGCGUUAUCCGGAUUUAUUGGGUUUAAAGGGUGCGUAGGCGGAAUAUCAAGUCAGCGGUAAAAAUUCGGGGCUCAACCCC
rnacentral:rRNA from 1 species